rnacentral:rRNA from 1 species
UACAGAGGUGCCAAGCGUUAGGCGGAAUCACUGGGCUUAAAGCGCGUGUAGGUGGGUCGUUAAGUGUCCGCGUGAAAUCCCACGGCUCAACCGUGGAACUGCCGGGCAUACUGGCGAUCUUGAGGCAUUCAGGGGCGAGCGGAACAAAUGGUGGAGCGGUGAAAUGCGUAGAUAUCGUUUGGAACGCCAAAGGUGAAAACAGACAGCUGGGAGUGUGCUGACGCUGAGACACGAAAGCCAGGGGAGCGAACGGG